rnacentral:rRNA from 1 species
AUGUUUACUGUGAGCUUAGACGUUGAUAUACAUGCCUACUUCAUCCCAGCUACCAUGAUCAUAGUUGUGCCCACGGGAAUCAAAAUCUUUAAUUGGAUCGCUACCAUGUGGGGAGGUUCGAUACCAUACAAAACACCCAUGUUAUUUGUUGUAGGGUUCAUCUUUUUGUUCACCAUAGGAGGGCUCACUAGAAUAAUUCUAGCAAAUGGAAAUGUGCAAGCACAUAAUAAGUAUCAAUAA